CAAGAUGUUGACAGGGCUUUGUUCUUUUCUAGUGGCUGAUUGUUAGAAUAUGUGCUUGGCAGAAGUCAGUUCCUCGUGCUUAUAGGAGAAGGUCUGUUUCCUUGCUAGCUGUCAGCUAUGGGCUGUCUUAGCUAUUAAAGGCAACUCUCUGGUCCUUCGGUUGGCCCCCUAUGUCUCAAAACCAGCAUAGGUGCAUCAACUGUUUCUCGUGCUCAGAAUCUCUUGGACUUCCCCUUCUAUAACAUCUUUCCUGCCUUUUCUUCUACCACAUGUGACUCCAGCCUGAGAAAAUGAUCUGCCUUUAAGACUUACGUGAUUAGGUUGGGAUCACCCAGGAUUUUGAAAAAGCAAGCUGACAUAAAUCCUAUAAUCACAAGGAAAUGAGUUUUACCAACAACCAGAGAAAGCUUGGAAGCAGAUUCUUUCUACGUAGAGCCUCCAGAUGAGAACCAGCUAAGUCAUGCCUGGACUUCUGACCCACAGAAACUGAGGAUAAUAAAUGUUUUAAGCCACCAAGUUUGCGAUAAUUUGUUACAAAGCAUAGAAAGCUAACACAGAUGACUUGAAUUCUAAAUUCCAUGUAAAAUUUUAUAACUUUUCUCUUUAUGUAUUCAGAUAAACAAUAUUCCUUACACACAUUUGAAAACAUAUCAAUAUAAGACAGCUAAAUAUUUUUUAAAGUUACAACGUAAUACAAAUAGAAGAUAUAUAAGAAAGCAAAAUCAAAUUAUGUUUUCCUUUCAGAAUUAUAAAACCCCCACCUAGCAAUGCUAGGCUCCUGACAUAAAUUACUGAAAAAUAGUCAGUAAUGAAUUUUAAAGCCAAAACAGAAAGUCUUAGUCCCUUUCUACCAAAAAGGUAUUUAACACAUCUUAAAACAAAAAUCGAGUAACCCGGGGAGGAUAAAAUAAAUUUGUGUCACACCAAAGGAAGAUGUAAAAAUUGUUUGGUUUGCAGAAAAAUCAUUCAAAAUCAUUUCAAUCCUUGGCUCAUAAAUAAUGCAAACUUAAUGAGAUAUUCUAUCCUAACAUGUAUAGAUGAAGUUCUUAAUUAUUUCAAAGGGGAUUGUGCCUACAUACCUGAAAUUUAAACUUUCCCUGUAGAAAACAAUAAAAACAUACACUUCUUUAUAGAUAUAUUUAGAAUGUGUUAUCCCCAACUAAUAUUUUCUAAACUACACACAUACUUAAACACUGAAUUUAAGAUAUAAACUGAGAUCCUUACCAAUUUUGAAUGGAGUUUAAUCACAUCAACCCACAUAAAAGUCUCACAUGAACACAUAUUUUUAUGUGACAUAUUUUUCUUCAAAUAAAUAUUGCUUCUCAGACUUUUUAGCAACUGUGGCAAAAACACUCAUUGUGAAUUUAUUUUUCUUACAGCUUGUAUAUGUUUUCUUUAUCUUGAAUUGUCUGCCCAAGUAGAUGAGAGAUUUGAAAAAUUCUGUCGACAGUGGUAACAGAGUCAGAGGUCAAAAGUUUCCAAGCAUGAACUAAACCUAAACAGCAAGAAAAAUAUCAAAAUGUAUGCAAAAAUACACAGAAAGGUUAUUGAUCUUCUAAAAUCAUACCAGAUUUUAGAAGAAAUACCAGAAAAUAGCCUUAAGGAAAUAAACCUUGUGUUUGUCUAAUAAAACCCAUCAAGAAGUAUGUAAUAAUUACAUCAACCCUCUUGAAAUUUUUUUAAAAAGGCCAAGUCUAUAGAAUGAAUAGUAUCAGGCCAAGAAAAAAAAUUCAGGCCCUGUUUCCAAGGACAAUAAUAGUGGAACAGACAGAUAGUGGCCAGUCUAGCCUGGGGAAUGCAAACCAACCAAGUAAAAAAUUUGACAACUCAGUUUUUUAUAAAAUUAAACCAAUGCUGUGUAUAAAAGUAUCCAGAAUGAAAUGAAGAACUGACUCAUAUUUUGAUAAUUAAUGCUCAAAAAUGUGAAAUUUUCUGUUCCAUUAUUUAGGUAUUUUAAGAAAAAUUUACUUUAAAUUUUUGCUUUAUGUGACUAUAAUAGCUAUAUUUCAUGUAUUAGCAUUUAUACAUACAAAGGCUGUAGAGUUUUACCAGACUUUAUUCGAGGGUCCAGAGUACUUAAAGAGAACAAUACAGGAAUAGAAAUAGCAUAAACUAUAUACUUCAAAUAAUUUCACAGGGCUGUGUAAGCAUUUUAAGGAAUUGAGGCUUUAUCCUAAGCCUAAGGGAAAGCCAUCCAUAUAACCAAAUUUCUGUUUGGAAAAAUGUGCUCUGGUUGUAGUACAGAGAAUUAGUUGUCAGAACAAAGGUGAGAUGGUGGUGAUAUAGAUGCCAAAGUAAGAAAAUAUGAAUGUGCUAUGCUAUUUCACUCUUCUGUCCUUCACCAACCUAUUUUCUCUGCUUCCUUUUCUCUUUGUUCAUAUUUUCAGUUCAAGUUUCACCCCUUCUAUGAAACAUUUCAUGAAGUAUCAGCCCAUUCUGUACAAUCAACCACUCCUGCCUCUGUGCCCAAACAGUAUAUGCUUUUAUCAUGGCCCAUGCCAUUGAAAUGCAUUUAGCUGUAUAUGUAUAUUCGUCCUUGUACAAAUCAAUAAAUAAAUUCUUAAUGAAAUUUAUUUUCUGUCUCCAGCAUCUAAACAAUGUUUUGCCUUGUGCUAAUCAAAAAAGUUCUGGUUGACAUUUGAAAUGGUUAUUUUGAUAAUCUCUUUCUGUACCUUCCCUAAAGAUUACUCUUAAGACAUUCUGAAAAUAUCCAUUUUGGCAAAGUUGUAUGAGUUAUUCAAGAUUACUGUAAUUUAAGUUGCUAACAAAAUGGAUCCUAUCUAUUUGUUCACCCUUUAUUUCCCUGUCCUAUAUCAAUUUCUGCCAUCUAGUAGGUAUUAAAUAUAUUUUAUAAAUGUUUAAAAAUUAUUCAUAUUAAACUAAAAUAUCAGCUUUUCC
rnacentral:lncRNA from 1 species